rnacentral:rRNA from 1 species
UCUACGGGUGGCAGCAGUCGAGAAUCUUCGGCAAUGAGCGCAAGCUUGACCGAGCGACGCCGCGUGCGGGAUGAAGGCCUUCGGGUUGUAAACCGCUUUGGUCCGAAAGAAAGGGUAAAACUUGAUCGAUCGGAGAAACAAGGACGGGCUAAGUUCGUGCCAGCAGCCGCGGUAAGACGAACCGUCCAAACGUUAUUCGGAAUCACUGGGCUUAAAGGGCGCGUAGGCGGCCGAGCGGGUCGUGGGUGAAAUCCCCCAGCUUAACUGGGGAACUGCUUACGAUACCACUGCGGCUCGAGGAAGGAAGGGGCAAUUGGAACUGUCGGUGGAGCGGUGAAAUGCGUUGAUAUCGACAGGAACGCCGGUGGCGAAAGCGAAUUGCUGGUCCUUUUCUGACGCUGAGGCGCGAAAGCCAGGGGAGCAAACGGGAUUAGAUACCCCUGUAGUC